CAGCGUUUAAACUUGAAAGAAUGGAAGGAGUCGCAGAUGAAAAGCUGCUUUACCCUAUUGGAUUCUAGAUCAGUUCAGGGGGAACUUGGAUGGAUAGCAAGUCCUUUGGAAGGAGGGUGGGAGGAAGUAAGCAUUAUGGAUGAGAAAAACACUCCGAUCCGCACCUAUCAAGUCUGCAAUGUGAUGGAACCGAGUCAGAACAACUGGUUACGAACUGACUGGAUUCCCCGUGAGGGGGCUCAGAGGGUAUAUAUUGAAAUUAAAUUCACACUGAGAGACUGCAACAGCCUGCCAGGUGUCAUGGGAACUUGCAAAGAGACUUUUAACCUUUACUACUAUGAAUCAAACAAUGAUAAGGAGCGUUAUAUCCGUGAGAGCCAGUUUGCCAAGAUUGACACCAUUGCUGCAGAUGAAAGCUUCACUCAAGUGGACAUUGGUGACAGGAUCAUGAAGCUGAACACUGAGAUCCGUGAUGUGGGCCCACUGAGCAAGAAAGGGUUUUACCUGGCUUUUCAGGAUGUAGGUGCCUGUAUCGCCUUGGUUUCUGUCCGUGUUUUCUACAAAAAGUGCCCAUUGACAGUCCGCAACCUGGCUCAGUUUCCAGAUACCAUCACUGGAGCUGAUACGUCCUCUCUAGUGGAAGUUCGUGGCUCCUGUGUGAACAACUCAGAAGAGAAGGAUGUGCCAAAAAUGUACUGUGGGGCAGAUGGUGAAUGGCUGGUACCCAUUGGCAACUGUCUGUGCAAUGCUGGCUAUGAUGAGCACAAUGGAGAAUGCCAAGCCUGCAAAAUUGGAUACUACAAAGCUCUCUCCACAGACGUUUCCUGUGCCAAGUGCCCGUCCCACAGCUACUCCAUCUGGGAGGGCUCUACUUCCUGCACAUGUGAUCGGGGCUUUUUCCGAGCUGAAAAUGAUGCUGCCUCCAUGCCCUGCACUCGCCCUCCCUCUGCUCCCCUGAACCUGAUUUCCAAUGUCAAUGAGACGUCAGUGAACUUGGAGUGGAGUGCCCCUCAGAACAGCGGAGGCCGCGAUGACAUCUCCUACAAUGUGGUGUGCAAGAGAUGUGGGGCUGGCGACCUCAACCGCUGUCGGUCGUGUGGUAGUGGCGUGCACUUCAGCCCCCAGCAGAAUGGCUUGAAAACCACCAAAGUCUCUAUUACUGACCUUCUGGCACACUCCAACUACACUUUUGAAAUCUGGGCAGUGAACGGAGUGUCAAAGCAAAACCCCAGCCAGGACCAGGCUGUCUCAGUCACAGUGACAACUAACCAAGCAGCUCCCUCUCCAAUUGCCUUGAUCCAAGCUAAAGAAAUAACAAGGCACAGUGUUGCAUUGGCCUGGCUGGAACCUGACAGACCGAAUGGAGUUAUCUUGGAAUAUGAAGUCAAAUAUUAUGAGAAGGACCAAAAUGAGCGCAGUUAUCGCAUUGUGAAGACAGCCUCCAGGAACACAGAUAUCAAAGGCUUGAACCCUUUGACUUCAUAUGUGUUUCAUGUGCGAGCCAGGACAGCAGCGGGAUAUGGGGACUUCAGUGGGCCAUUUGAGUUCACGACCAACACAGUUCCUUCCCCCAUCAUUGGUGACGGUACCAAUCCCACAGUGCUUCUGGUCUCAGUGGCUGGCAGUGUUGUUCUUGUGGUCAUUCUCAUUGCUGCUUUUGUCAUCAGCAGGAGACGCAGUAAAUACAGUAAGGCUAAACAAGAGGCAGAUGAGGAGAAACAUUUGAAUCAAGGUGUGAGAACAUAUGUGGAUCCUUUCACAUAUGAGGAUCCAAACCAAGCUGUGCGGGAAUUUGCCAAAGAAAUCGAUGCCUCCUGUAUAAAGAUUGAAAAAGUCAUAGGUGUGGGUGAAUUUGGUGAAGUGUGCAGUGGGCGUCUCAAAGUACCAGGGAAGAGAGAGAUCUGUGUUGCUAUCAAGACUCUAAAAGCAGGAUACACUGACAAACAGAGGAGGGACUUUUUAAGUGAAGCCAGCAUCAUGGGACAAUUUGACCACCCCAACAUUAUACAUUUGGAAGGCGUAGUUACCAAAUGUAAACCGGUAAUGAUCAUAACUGAGUACAUGGAGAAUGGUUCCUUGGAUGCCUUCCUCAGGAAAAAUGAUGGCAGAUUUACAGUAAUCCAGUUGGUGGGAAUGCUUCGUGGCAUUGGCUCUGGAAUGAAGUAUCUGUCUGAUAUGAGCUAUGUUCAUCGGGAUCUAGCUGCCCGAAAUAUACUAGUCAAUAGCAACUUGGUCUGCAAGGUGUCUGACUUUGGCAUGUCCCGUGUUCUGGAAGAUGAUCCUGAAGCAGCCUAUACAACUAGGGGUGGCAAAAUUCCUAUCAGGUGGACUGCACCGGAAGCGAUUGCCUAUCGUAAAUUUACCUCAGCUAGUGAUGUGUGGAGCUAUGGCAUUGUAAUGUGGGAAGUGAUGUCUUAUGGAGAGAGACCUUACUGGGAUAUGUCCAAUCAAGAUGUUAUUAAAGCUAUUGAGGAAGGCUAUCGCCUGCCACCCCCAAUGGACUGCCCCAUCGCUCUCCAUCAGCUGAUGCUGGAUUGCUGGCAGAAGGAACGCAGCGACAGGCCUAAAUUUGGACAGAUUGUCAACAUGCUGGACAAACUCAUCCGCAACCCCAACAGCUUGAAGAGGACAGGCACCGAGAACUCCAGACCAAAUACUGCCCUGUUGGAUCCGAGUUCUCCAGAAUUCUCAGCUGUCGUUUCUGUUGGGGAUUGGCUUCAGGCUAUUAAAAUGGAUCGAUAUAAGGAUAACUUCACAGCUGCUGGCUAUACAACCCUAGAGGCUGUGGUGCAUAUGAACCAGGAUGAUCUGACGAGAAUUGGGAUUACCACCAUUGCACACCAGAACAAGAUUUUGGGCAACGUCCAGGCAAUGCGGACCCAAAUGCAACAGAUGCACGGCAGAAUGGUUCCUGUCUGAGCCAGUACUGAAUAAACUCAAACUCUUGAAAUUAGUUUACCUCAUCCAUGCACUUUAAUUGAAGAACUGCACUUUUUUUUACUUCGUCUCCUUGCCCUUUGAAAUAAAUAUCUGCAGCAUUGCUUGAUGUACAGAUUGCUAAAACUCUGGGGGCAGGGGCUACCAAAAUGACAAGCCGUCAUUUAAACCAGACCUGGAACAAAUUGUUUCUUGGAAUAUACUUCUGUUGAUCAACAAUAUGUAAAAUACAUGUAUCUAUAUAAAUAUAACAUCACAUGCAAGUUUUGAUGCUGUGUUUGCUGCCAGAUACUGUGCUUAAAAUAAUUACUCUUCCUUCUCCCAUGACCUGGGAUUACAACCAUAGUAUUUUAUUUGUGAAAUAAACCACGGUUGUGCAUCGUUCACUGGAACCAAGGACAUUUUCUGCAGACCCAACGUGUCACUGAAACCAUGCAGAAGCCUCAGUGAGAAUAUUGUUUGUUUGAUCAGUGCCUCUGAAUCAGUGAUUUACCCAUCUACAGGAUGUGAUUGGGAAUGACCCAUCUUGAGGAUUACUGGACAAAACUGGACUUCCGGGGGGUUGUUAUUGGCUGUUGUUGUGCCAUACUGAGCUGUAAGUCUGUAAACCUUUUGCGGACAUCUUACUGACAGUCAGCUCUGACAAUCUUGACUGUGAAACUUCCAGACUCACAUCCCUUUCCCCUUUCAAGGAGCAAUCACUGUUGAAAUACUGAAAAGGGAAAAUACAUUCUGCUUCCUUGGCCUCACAGCCUUUCCUAUUGAUCAUAUUGACCAUGGGAGAACAAAAGACCAGACAUGAAGCCUUCCAGAUUCCACAAGCCCUGCUUCACAAGCACUGAUUCUGGGGAACACAGACAACUCAGUAAGCAGAAUCAGUCCCUGAAGAGUGGGGGUUUUUAGUUUCCCUUUUUUGCAUUGAAACAAAGCAGAGACCGUAAGGUUCGAUAUCUGUUCUCCAGUUGUCCUUUGAGGAAUGUACUGUAUCAAAGCCCUUCAGACUUCUGGGAUUUUCCCCCUGCCUCUUCCUCCUUAUGGUUUUAUUUAUACAUUUUGAUUCCACCACCCCCGCGUGUCACUGGUGCAUCUUGUUUGAAUGCAAGUGACAGAGCACGACUGGUAUUACCUUGGACUCCCAAGUCAGAUGCCGCGACAGAACCCAGUUCACAUGAGCUGCCUAAAUACAUUGCUGAAGUGACAUUUUACACAGAAUGUGCCCUCGCAGUAAUAUAAAUAUAUAUUUUUUUUCUAAAAUGAAGAACGGACUUCUUCUCUCUUCCAAAUGAGUGUGUGUGUGCAUUUGUGUGUGUCUGCGUCACUGCAUGUGUAGAACUGCCUGUGAAUGUUCCGAAAAGCAUCUUUGGGAGCAUUGGCUUCCAUGCGUUUGCUAGUUGAAGAGUUACACAAGAAAGCAGGCCAGUAGAUGGAUGUCUGCAACAGUAGCAAGAAAACACACACACACACAAGUUUAAAUUUCUGUAUCUGUAAAUGUGUUUUGUAGCUGUCACACUAACCUUAACAACUGGUUCUGCAGCCUAGAACAGGGGCACUAUCAUCUAAGUUGUGGAGUGAUGAAUAAUAAGAUCCAUAAUGGUGAUAAAGCUUUCCAUCAAUAUCACUUAUUCUUAUCAAGACCUGUCCAUGAUAAAAAACACCAUCUUGAUGAAAAGGUGAUGGGCAACAGUGCUCAUAUCCAUCCACUGAUAACCCUGAACUGAACUCUUACGGAGCCUUUUUUAUCUGCAAAAAUAAGAUUUUAAAGACUUGUUGAAUGCAAACAAAUAUAUGCAAUUCUUAUGCAUUCACAGAAGCACACUGCUCAGUGUGCCAGCUGUGAGAACGUGUGUCCUGUAGCUGACCGUCCAAUAUUUCAUUUUCUCCCAGAAACAGUUAAGGAUAUUAAAUUGCAAGAGACUUUUAAGAUUACAGUUAACAAACAGGUUGCAAAUGUUUGUCAUGUUCCUAGUCUCCAUAGCCAAAGGAUAUGUGAAUUAAUGAAUGAGAGAGAAAACAACGAGUCCUAUGGCAACUUAAAGACUAACACGUUUUUUGGGCAUAAGCUUUUGUGGACUGGAACCAAGUGUUAAUCUUUAAGGUGCCGCAGGACUCCUCGUUAUUUUUGCUGAAACAGACUAGCACAGCUACCCCUCUGAAAUGUAUUAAUUUAAAAGGUCAUUUCUGUGAGCUAAAGGCCAGUGCAAACAACCUACCUGUACUACCCAGAAAAGUUGACAGUGCGAAGUAUUCACUGUUUAUUUACUGUAAACUAUUCUUAGAGCGGAGCUGUAUGCUAGAGUCUGGGGCAUGUGCCACAUUCUGAAUUCAGCAAUAGAUGUGCUCAACUUUCUUUCUGGUUGCAGAGGACUGAUGUCUAUUGAGUAGCAUGGUGCAGCACAGCAAGCUAGAACCAGAGAAGCAAUCAGUCAAAUACACAUUGGAAAACCCAAGAAAAAUUAUGGCUGUUGCCACAUACAAAAAGCAUGUCACAUUGAAUGGAGUGUCUCAAAGUUACUUCUAUUUCCUUCUCUUCUGGUCCUUUUAUUUUCAUUAUUAAAAUACCGCUGCCAGCUCUGAUUAACCAGAAAUUAAAGAUCUCUGUAGCUGGGGGAAACGGGGUGGGGAUGUUCAUGUCGUUGUGCCGGAGGCAGAAACCAAUCAACACUAUCAAGGACAGUUAGGGAGCGGAAUUGUGCAUUGCAGACCCAGCGCAUCCAAAUUGCAGUCAAAUGUUCUAAACAGAGUGUGGGUUUAAAAAAUGAACAAGUUACUACAGACUUUGCUUCCAUCUUCUCCCCCUUACAGAAGACAUCGUCAACAGGUCUCUCUAGCAUGGCAAGCCUUUGUUUGUUCGAAAUUGUUCUGCUCACCACACCACUGGUUGAUGUUUGUCCAGGUUUCUUGCUGUACUAAUUUUGUGAUGGAUUUGUGUAUUUUAAAAAUGUAUUUAAAAAAAAAGGCUGGUACUUAACUAGUAAACAGGACCUAAAAAGCAGUAUUUUUCAUUUGUGACAUUUUCAUAACCAGAAAAAUAUCCUGAAUACUAAUCAAAGAAAUGAAGAGAGUGCAUUUAUUUUUUUGUAUCACUGCAAGUAUGUUGGAAUAUGCAAGGACUGUGGUCAAAGGUAGAAUGUAUGAGGCAUAUUAUAAUUUAGUUCAUACCGAGAAAAAGAUUCUAACAGCAUUUCUUGUUUCAUAACUUUGAGCAGUCUCUGGGUUAGACAUAGAUUUUCUAUUUUGUUUUAAUUUGUAAUUCCCCCUCCCCUCCAUGAAUUUUAGGUACACAUAACUUAUGUCAUUUAUUUAUGGUCUUUUAUACCUAGUUUGUAAAAUUGUAAAAUAGCAAACAAUGCAAAAGUUGCAUUUGAAAAUAAUAAAGUAGUUGCUGUACAAACUUCA